GACGAACGCUGGCGGCGUGCUUAACACAUGCAAGUCGAACGGAAAGGCCCUGCUUUUGUGGGGUGCUCGAGUGGCGAACGGGUGAGUAACACGUGAGUAACCUGCCCUUGACUUUGGGAUAACUUCAGGAAACUGGGGCUAAUACCGGAUAGGAGCUCCUGCUGCAUGGUGGGGGUUGGAAAGUUUCGGCGGUUGGGGAUGGACUCGCGGCUUAUCAGCUUGUUGGUGGGGUAGUGGCUUACCAAGGCUUUGACGGGUAGCCGGCCUGAGAGGGUGACCGGCCACAUUGGGACUGAGAGAGGGACCAGACUCCUACGGGAGGCAGCAGUGGGGAAUAUUGCACAAUGGGCGGAAGCCUGAUGCAGAAACGCCGCGUGCGGGAUGACGGCCUUCGGGUUGUAAACCGCUUUCGCCUGUGACGAAGCGUGAGUGACGGUAAUGGGUAAAGAAGCACCGGCUAACUACGUG
rnacentral:rRNA from 1 species